UACGUAGGGUGCAAGCGUUGUCCGGAAUUAUUGGGCGUAAAGAGCUCGUAGGCGGUUUGUCGCGUCGGCUGUGAAAACUCGGGGCUCAACUCCGAGCUUGCAGUCGAUACGGGCUGACUGGAGUUCGGCAGGGGAGACUGGAAUUCCUGGUGUAGCGGUGAAAUGCGCAGAUAUCAGGAGGAACACCGGUGGCGAAGGCGGGUCUCUGGGCCGAUACUGACGCUGAGAAGCGAAAGCAUGGGGAGCGAACAGG
rnacentral:rRNA from 1 species